ACUAAGCGUACACGGUGGAUGCCCUGGCAGUCAGAGGCGAUGAAGGACGUGCUAAUCUGCGAUAAGCGUCGGUAAGGUGAUAUGAACCGUUAUAACCGGCGAUUUCCGAAUGGGGAAACCCAGUGUGUUUCGACACACUAUCAUUAACUGAAUCCAUAGGUUAAUGAGGCGAACCGGGGGAACUGAAACAUCUAAGUACCCCGAGGAAAAGAAAUCAACCGAGAUUCCCCCAGUAGCGGCGAGCGAACGGGGAGCAGCCCAGAGCCUGAAUCAGUGUGUGUGUUAGUGGAAGCGUCUGGAAAGGCGUGCGAUACAGGGUGACAGCCCCGUACACAAAAAUGCACAUGCUGUGAGCUCGAUGAGUAGGGCGGGACACGUGGUAUCCUGUCUGAAUAUGGGGGGACCAUCCUCCAAGGCUAAAUACUCCUGACUGACCGAUAGUGAACCAGUACCGUGAGGGAAAGGCGAAAAGAACCCCGGCGAGGGGAGUGAAAAAGAACCUGAAACCGUGUACGUACAAGCAGUGGGAGCACGCUUAGGCGUGUGACUGCGUACCUUUUGUAUAAUGGGUCAGCGACUUAUAUUCUGUAGCAAGGUUAACCGAAUAGGGGAGCCGAAGGGAAACCGAGUCUUAACUGGGCGUUAAGUUGCAGGGUAUAGACCCGAAACCCGGUGAUCUAGCCAUGGGCAGGUUGAAGGUUGGGUAACACUAACUGGAGGACCGAACCGACUAAUGUUGAAAAAUUAGCGGAUGACUUGUGGCUGGGGGUGAAAGGCCAAUCAAACCGGGAGAUAGCUGGUUCUCCCCGAAAGCUAUUUAGGUAGCGCCUCGUGAAUUCAUCUCCGGGGGUAGAGCACUGUUUCGGCAAGGGGGUCAUCCCGACUUACCAACCCGAUGCAAACUGCGAAUACCGGAGAAUGUUAUCACGGGAGACACACGGCGGGUGCUAACGUCCGUCGUGAAGAGGGAAACAACCCAGACCGCCAGCUAAGGUCCCAAAGUCAUGGUUAAGUGGGAAACGAUGUGGGAAGGCCCAGACAGCCAGGAUGUUGGCUUAGAAGCAGCCAUCAUUUAAAGAAAGCGUAAUAGCUCACUGGUCGAGUCGGCCUGCGCGGAAGAUGUAACGGGGCUAAACCAUGCACCGAAGCUGCGGCAGCGACACUAUGUGUUGUUGGGUAGGGGAGCGUUCUGUAAGCCUGUGAAGGUGUGCUGUGAGGCAUGCUGGAGGUAUCAGAAGUGCGAAUGCUGACAUAAGUAACGAUAAAGCGGGUGAAAAGCCCGCUCGCCGGAAGACCAAGGGUUCCUGUCCAACGUUAAUCGGGGCAGGGUGAGUCGACCCCUAAGGCGAGGCCGAAAGGCGUAGUCGAUGGGAAACAGGUUAAUAUUCCUGUACUUGGUGUUACUGCGAAGGGGGGACGGAGAAGGCUAUGUUGGCCGGGCGACGGUUGUCCCGGUUUAAGCGUGUAGGCUGGUUUUCCAGGCAAAUCCGGAAAAUCAAGGCUGAGGCGUGAUGACGAGGCACUACGGUGCUGAAGCAACAAAUGCCCUGCUUCCAGGAAAAGCCUCUAAGCAUCAGGUAACAUCAAAUCGUACCCCAAACCGACACAGGUGGUCAGGUAGAGAAUACCAAGGCGCUUGAGAGAACUCGGGUGAAGGAACUAGGCAAAAUGGUGCCGUAACUUCGGGAGAAGGCACGCUGAUAUGUAGGUGAAGCGACUUGCUCGUGGAGCUGAAAUCAGUCGAAGAUACCAGCUGGCUGCAACUGUUUAUUAAAAACACAGCACUGUGCAAACACGAAAGUGGACGUAUACGGUGUGACGCCUGCCCGGUGCCGGAAGGUUAAUUGAUGGGGUUAGCCGCAAGGCGAAGCUCUUGAUCGAAGCCCCGGUAAACGGCGGCCGUAACUAUAACGGUCCUAAGGUAGCGAAAUUCCUUGUCGGGUAAGUUCCGACCUGCACGAAUGGCGUAAUGAUGGCCAGGCUGUCUCCACCCGAGACUCAGUGAAAUUGAACUCGCUGUGAAGAUGCAGUGUACCCGCGGCAAGACGGAAAGACCCCGUGAACCUUUACUAUAGCUUGACACUGAACAUUGAGCCUUGAUGUGUAGGAUAGGUGGGAGGCUUUGAAGUGUGGACGCCAGUCUGCAUGGAGCCGACCUUGAAAUACCACCCUUUAAUGUUUGAUGUUCUAACGUUGACCCGUAAUCCGGGUUGCGGACAGUGUCUGGUGGGUAGUUUGACUGGGGCGGUCUCCUCCUAAAGAGUAACGGAGGAGCACGAAGGUUGGCUAAUCCUGGUCGGACAUCAGGAGGUUAGUGCAAUGGCAUAAGCCAGCUUGACUGCGAGCGUGACGGCGCGAGCAGGUGCGAAAGCAGGUCAUAGUGAUCCGGUGGUUCUGAAUGGAAGGGCCAUCGCUCAACGGAUAAAAGGUACUCCGGGGAUAACAGGCUGAUACCGCCCAAGAGUUCAUAUCGACGGCGGUGUUUGGCACCUCGAUGUCGGCUCAUCACAUCCUGGGGCUGAAGUAGGUCCCAAGGGUAUGGCUGUUCGCCAUUUAAAGUGGUACGCGAGCUGGGUUUAGAACGUCGUGAGACAGUUCGGUCCCUAUCUGCCGUGGGCGCUGGAGAACUGAGGGGGGCUGCUCCUAGUACGAGAGGACCGGAGUGGACGCAUCACUGGUGUUCGGGUUGUCAUGCCAAUGGCACUGCCCGGUAGCUAAAUGCGGAAGAGAUAAGUGCUGAAAGCAUCUAAGCACGAAACUUGCCCCGAGAUGAGUUCUCCCUGACUCCUUGAGAGUCCUGAAGGAACGUUGAAGACGACGACGUUGAUAGGCCGGGUGUGUAAGCGCAGCGAUGCGUUGAGCUAACCGGUACUAAUGAACCGUGAGGCUUAACC
rnacentral:rRNA from 4 species